GCCGAAGUGGUGAAACUGGAAAACACGAUGGACUCAAAAUCCAUUGCCAGCAAUGGCUUGAGGGUUCAACUCCCUCCUUCGGCA
rnacentral:tRNA from 1 species